rnacentral:rRNA from 1 species
GUGAUCGUACCAGCACUAAUGCACCGAAUCCCAUCAGAACUCCGAAGUUAAGCCUGUUUGGGCGAGAGUAGUACUAGGAUAGAUGACCCACUGGGCAGUCCUCGUGUUACACCUC